UUCACUACUGAGAAAAAAAACC
rnacentral:piRNA from 1 species